AAUAGAUACCCUGGUAGUCCACGCCGUAAACGGUGGGCGCUAGGUGUGGGGGACUUUCCACGUCCUCUGUGCCGCAGCUAACGCAUUAAGCGCCCCGCCUGGGGAGUACGGCCGCAAGGCUAAAACUCAAAGGAAUUGACGGGGGCCCGCACAAGCGGCGGAGCAUGUGGCUUAAUUCGACGCAACGCGAAGAACCUUACCAAGGCUUGACAUGCAGAGAAAUCUCGUAGAGAUACGGGGUCCGCAAGGGCUUUGCACAGGUGGUGCAUGGUUGUCGUCAGCUCGUGUCGUGAGAUGUUGGGUUAAGUCCCGCAACGAGCGCAACCCUUGUCCUAUGUUGCCAGCGAGUAAUGUCGGGGACUCAUAGGAGACUGCCGGGGCCAACUCGGAGGAAGGUGGGGAUGACGUCAAAUCAUCAUGCCCCUUAUGUCUUGGGCUGCACACAUGCUACAAUGGUCGGUACAAAGGGCUGCGAGACCGCAAGGUGGAGCGAAUCCCAAAAAGCCGGCCUCAGUUCGGAUUAGGGUCUG
rnacentral:rRNA from 1 species